GAUAUACUCCCUCCGUUCCAAAUUACUCGUCGCUGAAAUGGAUGUAUCUAGAACUAAAAUACAUCUAGAUACAUCCAUAUGUGCGACAAGUAAUUCGGAACGGAGGGAGUACAUG
rnacentral:pre_miRNA from 1 species